rnacentral:pre_miRNA from 1 species
AUCAUCCCGAGACCUUGUUAAAAUGCAUAUUCUGAUUCAGUGGAUCCGGGGUGGGGCCUGAGAGUCUGCAUUUCUAGCAAGCUCCCAGGUGAUGCUGA